rnacentral:rRNA from 1 species
ACUCAAAUGAAUAGACGGGGACCCGCACAAGCAGCGGAGCAUGUGGUUUAAUUCGACGCAACGCGAAGAACCUUACCUGGGCUUGACAUGUCGGUGACCGCCGUGGAAACACGGCUUCCCUUCGGGGCACCGUCACAGGUGGUGCAUGGCUGUCGUCAGCUCGUGUCGUGAGAUGUUGGGUUAAGUCCCGCAACGAGCGCAACCCCCGUCGCAUGUUGCCAGCAUUCAGUUGGGGACUCAUGCGAGACUGCCGGUGACAAACCGGAGGAAGGUGGGGAUGACGUCAAGUCCUCAUGCCCCUUAUGUCCAGGGCUACACACGUGCUACAUUGGCGCGUACAGAGGGCUGCGAUACCGCGAGGUGGAGCGAAUCCCUCAAAGCGCGUCUCGGUUCGGAUUGCAGGCUGAAACUCGCCUGCAUGAAGGCGGAGUUGCUAGUAAUCGCGGAUCAGCAACGUCGCGGUGAAUACGUUCCCGGGUCUUGCACACACCGCCCGU